UCACACUUUACUCUAAACUAAUCCCCCUUUAAGAGAUUUAUUAGGGUCGGGUGUAGUCUUGGAAUCGGGCAGGCGGAAUCCGAUUCCGAACAGAUCGACGAUGGCCGGCCGGUUCUGCUUCAGUCGAUCUUGCGCCGGUCUCUUCUCCAGCCUCGUCGUCCUCCGCGCUCUGCAACAGGUUCGCCUUCAAUUCUGUUAUAAGCCCCUCUUCGUCUGUUCUAUCUUCAUCAUCUCCUACUUCCAUAACAUCGACCUUGUCCUCAAGGUUGAAAGAGGGGUAAAGCUCCCCUAUCUUUGAUUUUUUUUCCCAGGAAGCUUCUGAUUAAGUAAGCCCUUUCCAGACGAUCUUCACUUCAUCAAUAGCUCUUCCACUCGCCAAGAUAGUCCGACGGUCUGUUACUUUGAUCGGGUACAGCACGGGUUGAUUUCCCACUUCCACUCCCGGUAGGUCCUCUUUUGAUGGUGGUGGUAUUUCUCCUUUAUACUUUCUUAGCAACGAAAUAUGAAAAGUAUUAUGAAUUAAACUGUUUACAGGUAAUUGUACCUUAUAGGCUACCCUGCUGAUCUUCUUCUUGAUUUGGUAUGGUCCAAAAAAUCGGGGAGAUAACUUAUGAUGUAGCCUGUGGACUACGGACAUUUGCUGGUAUGGUUUUAGCUUGAUGAACACCCAAUCUCCCUCACUAAAUUCAAUGUCAACUCUGUUUCUGUCUGCUCUGUUUUUCAUGUAAUCCUUGGUUUUAUCCAUGUUUAUUUUUACUGUCUCGAUUAUCUCUUGUCUUCUUAGUAUUUCUUCCUCCACUAGUAGAUUGUUGGAUCCAUCAUUGUGAAAUUCAGUGAAUGAUGCAGCUUCCCUCCCAUAUAGUGCUAGGAAUGGUGACAUACCAAUAGACACAUUAAAUGUUGAAUUGUGCCAUAAUUCUGCCCACGGUAACAUUUCAAGCCAUCUCUUAGGUUGAUCAUGAACUAAAGAUCUUAGGAACAUCUCGAUCCCUCUAUUAGUCACCUCGGUUUGCCCAUCAGUUUCGGGGUGAUAGGCUGAAGAUAAUUUUAGUGUAGUGCCACUUAGCCUAUUCAAUUCCCUCCAAAAGGAACUUGUGAAUACCUUAUCUCUGUCAAAUACUAUCGAAGCUGGAACACCAUGAAGUUUAAUGAUAUUUUCCACAAAAAAUGUUGCCACCAUCUUUGCUGUGAAAUCAGUCGGCAAAGCUCCCAAAUGACAGAAUUUUGAAAGUCUGUCCACCACCACUAUUAUUACUGUUUUACAUUUAACCUUGGGCAGACUUGUGAUGAAGUCUGUAGAGAUGUCCUUCCAAACCGCAUUAGGUGUGGGUAGAGGCAUUAACAAUCCUUGCGGUUUCUUGUUGUCUGAUUUUACUUUCUGACAUACCAAGCAUUCUUCAACAUAUUUUUUUAUUCCUUUGGACAUUCCCUUCCACCAGAAUAAUAGCUUGAUUCUUUUAAUAGUUCUUUCCACUCCUGAAUGGCCCCCAAUAGGGCUGUCAUGGUACUCUUUGAGAAUAUCCUUGAUUAAUUCAGAUUCUUGAGAUACAACAUAUCUCCCAUUAUAUAAUAGCAUUUCACCAUCGAUCUUCCAUUUAGGAUUCUUUUCUAUUCCCAAUCUCACUCUUUCUUUCAAACUGCAUAACUCCUGUUUUUGUUUUUGUUUUUGUUUUUGUUCUUCAUUCAACUCUAUCACUAAGUUGCUCACUAAUUUAGUAAGGCUUAAGAGCGAUCCCGUAGGAAUGGCACUUCUGAUUUCAUCUUCACCCUCUUCUUGAUAGUGCAUCUGCUGCUCUAUUCUCUUUUCUCGGCUUAUAUUUGAUGGUAUAAUCGAACCCUAAUAGCUUGCAUAAGAAUUUCUGUUGGUCGGGGGUUUGUAUCAACUGUGUUAACAUAUUUUUGAUACUUUGAUGAUCAGUGUGGAUGGUGAAUUUGUGACCCAGUAGAUAGUGUCUCCAUUUUCCAAUGGCUUGGGUGAUGGCAUGCAUUUCUUUGGCAUAAGUGGAGGCCAGUAGCAUCCUUCCCGAUAUUUUAGAACUGUGGAAGGCUAGUGGAUGACCUUCCUGGCUCAAAACAGCCCCUACACCUCCUUGACAUGUAUCAGUUUCAAUAUCAAACGGUUUUUCAAAAUCUGGAUGGUAUAAAACAGGAGCUCCCAUGAGUGCCUCUUUUAGUUUCUCUAAACUAGUAGUGGAUGCCUCAUUCCAACUAAAAUUAUCCUAGCUUCUUGAGUAGAUCAGUUAGUGGGGCUGCAAUACUAGCAUAAUUUUUUAUAAAUUUUCUGUAAUAACCUGAGAGCCCUAAAAAUCCUCUUAACCCUUUAAUUGUGGUUGGUUGUGGCCAAUUUUGGACUGCCACUAACUUCUUAGGAUCUGGUUUUAAUCCUUCCCCUGAAAUUAUGUGUCCCAAGAAUUGAAUUUCAUUCUGACAAAAUAAACACUUAGACUCUUUGGCAUAUAAUUGGUUGUCUCUCAAAAUAGUUAAGACCUCUGAGAUGUUGUAGAUGUAUUUUUUUUGAAUUGCUGAAUAUUAGAAUAUCAUCGAAAAAGACCAGUACAAACUUUCUUAAAAUAGGGGUGAAAAUUCUGUUCAUCAUAGCAUGGAAGGUAGAUGGCGCGUUAGAUAAUCCGAAUGGCAUAACCACAAAUUCGUAGUGGCCUUGAUGUGUUCUGAAAGCAUUUUUUUUCUAUGUCUUUAGGAUUAACCAAAAUUUGGUGAUACCCGGAUCUUAAAUCUAAUUUUGAGUACACCACAGACCCUUUCAGUUCGGCUAAGAUUUCAUCCACAGUGGGUAUAGGAAACCUAUCUCUUAUGGUGAUUUUAUUUAAGGCUCUGUAAUCAACACAAAGUCUCCAACUGCCAUCUUUCUUUUUCACCAACAACACUGGUGAAGAAUAACGACUAAUACUCUCUUGCACUAUUUUCUGUUUCAGCAUUUCUUGCACAAUUCUCUGUAUUUCAUCUUUUUGAGAUUGAGCUUGUUUGUAUGGUCUGAUAUUAAUAGGUGUAGCAGAAGGUUCCAAAUGUAUAUUGUGGAACUGUGACCUUACUGGAGGAAGGCUAGUUGGUUCCUCAAACAUAUCUCUGAAUUCCUGUAAUAUUUCUUUUAACUUGUCAUCUUGAUCUGAUUUAUCCUUCUCCUGUUUCUGAUUUGUGACAUUUUUCUGUUCAACAAACUCAAAUCUGCAGAAAUAUGCACUAGCCGUAGACAUUGCUAGGUUUUUCAAUUCAUGAGUAGAAAAGCUAUCAUCAGAUAAUAUGGUUUCU
rnacentral:lncRNA from 1 species